GGCGGCAUAGCUCAGAUGGCUAGAACACGCGGUUCAUACCCGCGGUGUCACUGGUUCGACUCCAGUUGCCGCCACCA
rnacentral:tRNA from 1 species